UACGAAGGGGGCUAGCGUUGUUCGGAAUUACUGGGCGUAAAGGGCGCGUAGGCUGUGCUGUAAGUCAGGCGUGAGAUCCCCGGGCUCAACCUGGGAAUUGCGUUUGAUACUGCGGCGCUGGAAUGCAGGAGAGGAUGGCGGAAUUCCCAGUGUAGAGGUGAAAUUCGUAGAUAUUGGGAAGAACACCGGUGGCGAAGGCGGCCAUCUGGCCUGUAAUUGACGCUGAGGCGCGAAAGCGUGGGGAGCAAACAGG
rnacentral:rRNA from 1 species